rnacentral:rRNA from 1 species
CGUAGGCGGUUUUGUCGGUCAGAUGUGAAAGCCCAGGGCUCAACCCUGGACGUGCAUUUGAAACAGCAAGACUUGAGUACGGGAGAGGAAAGCGGAAUUCCUGGUGUAGAGGUGAAAUUCGUAGAUAUCAGGAGGAACACCGAUGGCGAAGGCAGCUUUCUGGACCGAUACUGACGCUGAGGCGCGAAGGCGUGGGUAGCGAACA